rnacentral:rRNA from 1 species
UAGGGAAUCUUCGGCAAUGGACGAAAGUCUGACCGAGCAACGCCGCGUGAGUGAAGAAGGUUUUCGGAUCGUAAAACUCUGUUGUUAGAGAAGAACAAGGACGUUAGUAACUGAACGUCCCCUGACGGUAUCUAACCAGAAAGCCACGGCUAACUACGUGCCAGCAGCCGCGGUAAUACGUAGGUGGCAAGCGUUGUCCGGAUUUAUUGGGCGUAAAGCGAGCGCAGGCGGUUUCUUAAGUCUGAUGUGAAAGCCCCCGGCUCAACCGGGGAGGGUCACUGGAAACUGGGAGACUUGAGUGCAGAAGAGGAGAGUGGAAUUCCAUGUGUAGCGGUGAAAUGCGUAGAUAUAUGGGGGAACACCAGUGGCGAAGGCGGCUCUCUGGUCUGUAACUGACGCUCAGGUGCGAAAGCGUGGGGAGCAAACAGG